AUGAUCGGUGGGUCUUCAUACCAAAGGGAAGACUGGAAGAAGGCAAGGAAGAAGAACUUUAGGAAUUGGGUCCCUCGUUGGGAUAUACAUUCGAUAAUCAAAAGAGUGGGCGAGUACUAUCCAAAAGGUGUGACUUCGAUUUAUUUCUCAGAAUUUCCAGAUGAUAGUAAGGCAGCAGAUUUCUUCGAUCUUUUUGGUUGUGUUGGGAAAGUGAUUGAGGUUGCGAUUUCGCCAAGGAGAAACAACGUAAGCAAGAGAUUUGGGUUUGCUAGAUUUUAG
rnacentral:lncRNA from 1 species